CAAUAGCGUAUAUUAAAGUUGUUGCAGUUAAAAAGCUCGUAGUUGGAUUUCUGGUGGGAGCGACCGUGCCGAACUUGAUUGUUCGAGUAUUGUGUUGUCUUCAGCCAUCCUCGUGGAGAACUUUUCUAACAUUAACUUGUUGGGAUUGGGACCCGCGUCGUUUACUGUGAAAAAAUUAGAGUGUUUAAAGCAGGCAUUAGCUUGAAUACAUUAGCAUGGAAUAAUAAGAUAGGACUUUGGUACUAUUUUGUUGGUUUGCAUACCAAAUUAAUGAUCAACAGGAACAGUUUGAGGAUAUUCGUAUGAACAUGUCAGAGGUGAAAUUCUUGGAUUUUGAUCAGACGAACUACUGCGAAAGCAUUUAUCAAGGAUGUUUUCAUUAA
rnacentral:rRNA from 1 species